CGCUGGCGGCGUGCUUAACACAUGCAAGUCGAACGGUAAGGCCCUUCGGGGUACACGAGUGGCGAACGGGUGAGCAACACGUGGGUGAUCUGCCCUGCACUUCGGGAUAAGCCUGGGAAACUGGGUCUAAUACCGGAUAGGACUCCUGGCUUCAUGGUUUGGGGUGUAAAGCUUUUGCGGUGUGGGAUGGGCCCGCGGCCUAUCAGCUUGUUGGUGGGGUAAUGGCCUACCAAGGCGACGACGGGUAGCCGGCCUGAGAGGGUGACCGGCCACACUGGGACUGAGAUACGGCCCAGACUCCUACGGGAGGUAGCAGUGGGGAAUAUUGCACAAUGGGCGCAAGCCUGAUGCAGCGACGCCGCGUGAGGGAUGACGGCCUUCGGGUUGUAAACCUCUUUCAAUAGGGACGAAGCGCAAGUGACGGUACCUAUAGAAGAAGGACCGGCCAACUACGUG
rnacentral:rRNA from 1 species